rnacentral:rRNA from 1 species
UGUCGUCAGCUCGUGUUGUGAAAUGUUGGGUUAAGUCCCGCAACGAGCGCAACCCUUAUCCUUUGUUGCCAGCGGUCCGGCCGGGAACUCAAAGGAGACUGCCAGUGAUAAACUGGAGGAAGGUGGGGAUGACGUCAAGUCAUCAUGGCCCUUACGACCAGGGCUACACACGUGCUACAAUGGCGCAUACAAAGAGAAGCGACCUCGCGAGAGCAAGCGGACCUCAUAAAGUGCGUCGUAGUCCGGAUUGGAGUCUGCAACUCGACUCCAUGAAGUCGGAAUCGCUAGUAAUCGUGGAUCAGAAUGCCA